rnacentral:rRNA from 1 species
ACGUAGGUGGCAAGCGUUGUCCGGAUUUAUUGGGUUUAAAGGGUGCGUAGGCGGCUUUGUAAGUCAGUGGUGAAAUACGGCAGCUCAACUGUCGAGGUGCCAUUGAUACUGCAGAGCUAGAGUACUGAUGAGGUAGGCGGAAUGGACGGUGUAGCGGUGAAAUGCUUAGAUAUCGUCCAGAACACCGAUAGCGAAGGCAGCUUACUAAAGAGUAACUGACGCUGAGGCACGAAAGUGUGGGGAUCAAACAGGAUUAGAUACCCUGGUAGUCCACACUGUAAACGUUGAUCACUAGAUGUUGGCGAUACACUGCCAGCGUUCCAGCAAAAGCGAUAAGUGAUCCACCUGGGGAGUACGCCCGCAAGGGUG